rnacentral:rRNA from 1 species
UACGUAGGGUGCAAGCGUUGUCCGGAAUUAUUGGGCGUAAAGGGCUCGUAGGCGGUCCGUCACGUCGGGAGUGAAAACUUGGGGCUUAACCCCAAGCCUGCUUCCGAUACGGGCGGACUAGAGGUAGGCAGGGGAGAACGGAAUUCCUGGUGUAGCGGUGAAAUGCGCAGAUAUCAGGAGGAACACCGGUGGCGAAGGCAGAUCUCUGGGCCGUAACUGACGCUGAGGAGCGAAAGCAUGGGGAGCGAACAGG